UGGGGAAUAUUGCACAAUGGGCGCAAGCCUGAUGCAGCCAUGCCGCGUGUAUGAAGAAGGCCUUCGGGUUGUAAAGUACUUUCAGCGGGGAGGAAGGUGUUGAGGUUAAUAACCUCAGCAAUUGACGUUACCCGCAGAAGAAGCACCGGCUAACUCCGUGCCAGCAGCCGCGGUAAUACGGAGGGGGCACGCGUUAAUCGGAAUUACUGGGCGUAAAGCGCACGCAGGCGGUCUGUCAAGUCGGAUGUGAAAUCCCCGGGCUCAACCUGGGAACUGCAUCCGAAACUGGCAGGCUUGAGUCUUGUAGAGGGGGGUAGAAUUCCAGGUGUAGCGGUGAAAUGCGUAGAGAUCUGGAGGAAUACCGGUGGCGAAGGCGGCCCCCUGGACAAAGACUGACGCUCAGGUGCGAAAGCGUGGGGAGCAAACA
rnacentral:rRNA from 1 species